UGACCACUGGCGCAACACCAUGUUUGUUACAAAUUAACUUAAACGGCUUUUCUUUGUUUUUAAAAGCAGUACCCAGCUCAUCUAACCUUAUGUCUCUUGUUCUGAACUAAACACAUGGUGAGAGUGCAGGUAAUGCUAAAGGGUUUAUUUGAAUUUGUAUUAAAAGUUCUCUGUAUUUAGAAACACAACCUUUUUCUUAACAAGACAUUGAAUGUACCAAAAACAUUUAAGCAUUUUAUAAACUUUUGGUCUAAAUACUGUAUUGUAUAUUUUACAUGCUGAAUUUCUGAAGUAGCAGGGCUAUUUACCAAAGUGAGAAUUGCCGUGACUAAAAAAGGGAAUUUCAAAAUUAAGACUAAAAUAGCUGAAUUAGAAAGUAUAUUUCUGAUUUCCGUUUGGGUAUUGUGGGCUUAAAUUUAAAAUGAACUGUGAAUUCCCAGCAUUAGUCGCCUUAGUGAAUAACCCUGAGACGGAACCAUUACAAAUAACCCUUUGGAAUGGUGGAAACAUGAUUUCUGACUUUUUGCAAGGCUCCCUGAAAGAGCUGCUUAGUUGAUGAAAUGACAGUAGGGGCUCCAACAUUGCCAGUUUAGUUAAUCUAUGCACAUUGUAUAUAAAAUAAAGUGGUGCACACAAAACCAGCAAGGUGAAAAGCAGGCUCUAACACUUAAGUGAAGGAAUCCCUUAACCUUCACAACACAGAACAUGCAAAUAAAACAAAAUAUAAGUGGAGCUCUGGUUUACCUGUAUAAAUAGUGGUAUGAUACAGAUGGACGAAGAUACUUUAACAAUAAUCUGUAAAUAGGUAACAAUAAAUCUUAGUGCAGACGAUAGUUACAAUGUAAGUAUUGAAAGAUGAAUAGUAAAUGGGUAACUCACAAAAAAAGAGCCAAUAACACACUUGGCUCUAGUGGUAAAUGCCUCUGGAUCUUCUUAGGGGAGAUCCACCACCCUCUUUUGAUUGCCUCCUGAUGUCCUCCACCUUAGAUUCAGGUAUGGAUAGAAUGGAUAGAAUGGCAAACUCCAAAUGGUAGUGUGGACAAAAUUUAUUAUAUUAAAAAAUAAUCAGAUAAAAUAAAUUCAAAUUAAAAGAAUUAUUUCAUAAAAGUACAUAAAAUGGUUCCAAAACGCGUUUCGCCAGUAAACUGGCUUCCUCAGUUGGUAUAAAAGUCCUUGCGUCCUCUUGUUCUUUUUAUAUGUGCUUAAUGACGAAAUUACUGGCAUCUGCUGAACCGGAAGAUCGCUCUGUGGAACGCACACAGAGCUAGUUGGAACGCACGUGUAAACGUGCGUGCGGAAAUCACGUGAUGUAAUUUGUUCAACUUCGUGGAACGCUUACAUAUGCGUUCCACCAUCUUAAAACGUAAGAUCCGGCUACUGUGCUUCCUCUUUCUUCGUGGAACGCAUUAUAUGCGUUCCACUGCCAGAAUACUUUUACUAAUUGCAAAAGUCCCAAAACAGAAUGUCCAUUAAUUCUCAAAUGUGACAAUGGGAGAAAGAAAGUACAAUAGUUUCAUCACAACAACAUAACAUAAUGAGUAUAAGCAGAUAUAUUAUAAACUUUAUAAUAUGACUUUUAAAAUGUGAAAAAUAAUAUGAAAAAUAAUAUCAAAUCUCUGUAGUUGUAAAAAAUGACAGAUACGAAAGUGAAUAAAAAUUUGGGAGGGUAGAGAAAAAAUCAUUUAAUAUAUGAGUAGAAAAUCAUUUAAUUUAUGAAUAACUAUGAAAAAUAGUAUCUAAUCUCUGUAGUUGUAAAAAAUGACAGAUACAAAAGUGAAUAAAAAUUUUUUGGGGAGGGUAGAGUAAAAAUUAUUUAAUGUAUAAAUAGAAAAUCAUUUAAUAUAUGAAUGACUAUUAAAUAUUUUCUUUACUGUUACAAGGAGAAAAAAAGACUAAAAUAAUAGGGGAAAAUAAAUUAUAAGAAAUGACAUAAUUCAAAAUCCAAAUUUAGUCCAUGAGGGACCAUGGUGUUAAAAUUAAAAAUAAAAGUAAUUUCUUCUAUCCCAAUUUUUUUAAUAAAAUCUCCACCCCUCCAAUUUUUUUUGACCAAUUUGAGUGCGCAAAACAUAAGACCCUGUGGAUUUUGAUGAUGGUAUUGUUUAAAAUGCUGUGAGACACUAUGUGUGUCUACUCCUUUUUUAAUGUUUCUCACAUGUUCCGAAACUCUAACAUGGAGGCACCUAAUGGUCCUCCCUAUAUACAUUUUAUUGCACGGACAAAUUAAUAAAUAAAUAAUAUUUUUAGAGAAACAUGUCAAUUGGUCUCUAAUUGUGAAUUCUUUAUUAAUAAUUUCAUUCGUAUUUUUAAUGUGUCUCUUUUUACUUAUUGUUUCCCUACAUGCAAGGCACGUUCCACAACCAUAAAAACCUUUGCUUUUUGUCAAGAAAUUAUCAUUUUCAUUCUGAUGAUUCUUUAGAUUACUAUUUACUAAAAAAAUCUUUAUAUUCUUGCAUCCCCUAUGUACAAUUUUGGGUCUCUCUGGUAAUAUUUCUUUUAAAAUUGGGUCAUCCUGUAAUAAGUGCCAAUACUUAUUAAUGGCAUACCGUACUUUCUUGUUAUUUGCAGAAAAAUUACAAAUAAAAGGAAUAUUACAUUUGUUGUCUUCUAUUCUUGUUUUUUUCUUUUUAUAUAUUAACAGUUCUUUUCGCUCUAAUCUUGUUAUUUCUUCUAUACCCUUUUGGAGAUCUUCUUCUUUAUAUCCUUUUUCUAAGAAUUGAUUUUUAAUUGUCUGAGUUUGUCUUAGAAAAUCUUCAUUUUUUGUACAAUUUCUUUUUAACCUCAUAAACUGGCUUUUGGGUGCAUUCGUAAGCCACGGAGUGUGGUGACAACUAGUGAGAUCUAUGUAUCCAUUGCAAUCUACCUCUUUAAAAUAAUUUUUUGUAAAAAUGUUUCCCUCUUCUAUAAAAACAGUGAGGUCUAAAAAAUUAAUUUCUGCUCUGCUUUGGGUGGAAGUCAAACUGAUUCCCCAAUCGUUGCAAUUUAAAAAACUAAAAAAAUUGUUCAAUUCUAAAUCAUCUCCCUUCCAAAUAAAAAAUAUGUCGUCAAUGUAACGGCGAUAGGUGACCAAGUCCGCAAAAAAUUCACUAUGUAAAAUAAAUGUUUCUUCCCAAUACGCCAUAAAAAGAUUUGCGUAACUAGGUGCGAACUUGGUCCCCAUCGCCAUUCCGUUGAUUUGCAAGUAAAAACUGUCUUUAAACCAGAAAAAAUUGUUGGUCAAAAUUAAAGACAUGCCUUCUUUGAUAAAAUUUAUCUGUUCUUGUUUAAAAUUUGAUUUUUCUAAAAAAUAUUGCACCGCCUCUAUUCCCUUUAUAUGUGGAAUAUUACUAUAAAGAGAACUUACAUCACAAGUAACCAAUAUAUAAUUCUCUUCCCAUUUAAUGUCUCCUAAAAUUUGCAAAAUGUGUAUCGUAUCUUUCAAAUACGUUGGAUUCUUAAUUACCACCGGUUGAAGUAGGACAUCUAUAUAUUCCGAGACUCUCGAUGAGAUACUCUCUACCCCAGAAAUAAUAGGUCUUCCGGUGGGUUGGUUAAAUGUUUGUGCAUUUUUGGCAAACAAUAAAACACUGGAAUCUGGGGAUUUAAAAUAGUUAAGUAUUUAGCUUCUGCCUCUGUUAAAAUAUUGUUUUCCAAUCCUUUAUCAAUAUAUUCUUUAAACUUAAUUAUAAUUUCUUGACUAGGGUUAGAUGUUAAUUUUUUAUAUGUUUUUACAUCCGACAAAAGCCUUUCUGCUUCCCCUACAUACUUUUUUUUAUAAUUCUAAUUCUAUCUAAAAAAAAGUAUGUAGGGGAAGCAGAAAGGCUUUUGUCGGAUGUAAAAACAUAUAAAAAAUUAACAUCUAACCCUAGUCAAGAAAUUAUAAAGUUCGCACCUAGUUACGCAAAUCUUUUUAUGGCGUAUUGGGAAAAAACAUUUAUUUUACAUAGUGAAUUUUUUGCGGACUUGGUCACCUAUCACCGUUACAUUGACGACAUAUUUUUUAUUUGGAAGGGAGAUGAUUUAGAAUUGAACAAUUUUUUAAGUUUUUUAAAUUGCAACGAUUGGGGAAUCAGUUUGACUUCCACCCAAAGCAGAGCAGAAAUUAAUUUUUUAGACCUCACUGUUUUUAUAGAAGAGGGAAACAUUUUUACAAAAAAUUAUUUUAAAGAGGUAGAUUGCAAUGGAUACAUAGAUCUCACUAGUUGUCACCACACUCCGUGGCUUACGAAUGCACCCAAAAGCCAGUUUAUGAGGUUAAAAAGAAAUUGUACAAAAAAUGAAGAUUUUCUAAGACAAACUCAGACAAUUAAAAAUCAAUUCUUAGAAAAAGGAUAUAAAGAAGAAGAUCUCCAAAAGGGUAUAGAAGAAAUAACAAGAUUAGAGCGAAAAGAACUGUUAAUAUAUAAAAAGAAAAAAACAAGAAUAGAAGACAACAAAUGUAAUAUUCCUUUUAUUUGUAAUUUUUCUGCAAAUAACAAGAAAGUACGGUAUGCCAUUAAUAAGUAUUGGCACUUAUUACAGGAUGACCCAAUUUUAAAAGAAAUAUUACCAGAGAGACCCAAAAUUGUACAUAGGGGAUGCAAGAAUAUAAAGAUUUUUUUAGUAAAUAGUAAUCUAAAGAAUCAUCAGAAUGAAAAUGAUAAUUUCUUGACAAAAAGCAAAGGUUUUUAUGGUUGUGGAACGUGCCUUGCAUGUAGGGAAACAAUAAGUAAAAAGAGACACAUUAAAAAUACGAAUGAAAUUAUUAAUAAAGAAUUCACAAUUAGAGACCAAUUGACAUGUUUCUCUAAAAAUAUUAUUUAUUUAUUAAUUUGUCCGUGCAAUAAAAUGUAUAUAGGGAGGACCAUUAGGUGCCUCCAUGUUAGAGUUUCGGAACAUGUGAGAAACAUUAAAAAAGGAGUAGACACACAUAGUGUCUCACAGCAUUUUAAACAAUACCAUCAUCAAAAUCCACAGGGUCUUAUGUUUUGCGCACUCAAAUUGGUCAAAAAAAAUUGGAGGGGUGGAGAUUUUAUUAAAAAAAUUGGGAUAGAAGAAAUUACUUUUAUUUUUAAUUUUAACACCAUGGUCCCUCAUGGACUAAAUUUGGAUUUUGAAUUAUGUCAUUUCUUAUAAUUUAUUUUCCCCUAUUAUUUUAGUCUUUUUUUCUCCUUGUAACAUUAAAGAAAAUAUUUAAUAGUCAUUCAUAUAUUAAAUGAUUUUCUAUUUAUACAUUAAAUAAUUUUUACUCUACCCUCCCAAAAAAAUUUUUAUUCACUUUUGUAUCUGUCAUUUUUUACAACUACAGAGAUUAGAUACUAUUUUUCAUAGUUAUUCAUAAAUUAAAUGAUUUUCUACUCAUAUAUUAAAUGAUUUUUUCUCUACCCUCCCAAAUUUUUAUUCACUUUCGUAUCUGUCAUUUUUUACAACUACAGAGAUUUGAUAUUAUUUUUCAUAUUAUUUUUCACAUUUUAAAAGUCAUAUUAUAAAGUUUAUAAUAUAUCUGCUUAUACUCAUUAUGUUAUGUUGUUGUGAUGAAACUAUUGUACUUUCUUUCUCCCAUUGUCACAUUUGAGAAUUAAUGGACAUUCUGUUUUGGGACUUUUGCAAUUAGUAAAAGUAUUCCGGCAGUGGAACGCAUAUAAUGCGUUCCACGAAGAAAGAGGAAGCACAGUAGCCGGAUCUUACGUUUUAAGAUGGUGGAACGCAUAUGUAAGCGUUCCACGAAGUUGAACAAAUUACAUCACGUGAUUUCCGCACGCACGUUUACACGUGCGUUCCAACUAGCUCUGUGUGCAUUCCACAGAGCGAUCUUCCGGUUCAGCAGAUGCCAGUAAUUUCGUCAUUAAGCACAUAUAAAAAGAACAAGAGGACGCAAGGACUUUUAUACCAACUGAGGAAGCCAGUUUACUGGCGAAACGCGUUUUGGAACCAUUUUAUGUACUUUUAUGAAAUAAUUCUUUUAAUUUGAAUUUAUUUUAUCUGAUUAUUUUUUAAUAUAAUAAAUUUUGUCCACACUACCAUUUGGAGUUUGCCAUUCUAUCCAUUCUAUCCAUACCUGAAUCUAAGGUGGAGGACAUCAGGAGGCAAUCAAAAGAGGGUGGUGGAUCUCCCCUAAGAAGAUCCAGAGGCAUUUACCACUAGAGCCAAGUGUGUUAUUGGCUCUUUUUUUGUGAGUUACCCAUUUACUAUUCAUCUUUCAAUACUUACAUUGUAACUAUCGUCUGCACUAAGAUUUAUUGUUACCUAUUUACAGAUUAUUGUUAAAGUAUCUUUGUCCAUCUGUAUCAUACCACUAUUUAUACAGGUAAACCAGAGCUCCACUUAUAUUUUGUUUUAUUUGCAAAAUCUAUGCACAUUGCCUAUGAAUGCAGUACCCGUACUUGGUACUCUUAGGGAAUCCUUAAAGCAGCUUGUCUUAUUUCACUGUCUUAGCCUAUGUUUAGGUGCUGGCAAAGGCACGGAUAGGGACGUACUCUGUCUUUGUGCAAUCUAUUUCUAUAUACCUUUUCCCUUGUUAUGGUUAUUUACCGCUUCUGUUUUUUUAGUUUAAACAGUAAUUCAUAUUGCUAUGAUUGUUUAUUGUGGUUUGAGACCACGUUGGCUCCAGUCCAACUUUAUUUACCAGUGUUUUCAGAUUUAGAGCCAAGAGCCAACAAAGGCACAGGCUGUAAAAUGUUCUCUACGCGUUGGGGGCUAUUUUUCUUCCAUUUUUUAUAUUCCUUCUAUUUCUCUGUAACUUGCUAUUCCAUAUACUUCCUUUCCAUCUGAUCUCAUAUGUAUAAGACUGCAUGUAUAAGUCCCUAUUUAUACAUAUAUAUACAUAUAUAUAUAGUAACUGUUUGUAACCUUUUUCUCAGUGACAUUUUAUUUAAUUGUUUGGUUCAGAUUUAGACAGGUAAUUGGGAAGAUAUGGAAGCGUAGGGAUUUACAUGUACACCAGACAUAGAAUGUUAGGAAGAUCACAAGUAGAAUGUUAAGUGGGUCACAAUUAGAGUUUGGUUCAUUGGAAGCAGAAGGCACUGAAGGGGGAAAUCUAAUAUCUCAGCCCAGCUUAAUCUCUGCUCCAACACAUAUAGUUAGGUGGAUGGGAAAUGGGAAUUAUUGAAACUAAUGGUAACAGUGGCAGCUGGUAAAAUCUUAAGAUACUGGGUUGCCAGACUCUUUCCCCAGAACGUUACUUCUUUUUAUAUAAUACAGAGAUACUCAUACAAUACAGAGAGCUGAGCAUAACACUGAGAAGCUCCUACAAUAAAACAAGCUGGACAUAACAUAAAGAUAUCUAUAAAAUAUAUAGAGCGGAAUACAAUACAGAGAAACAAAUAGAGAUAUAAUACACAGAGCUGGGCACAAUACAAAAGAUACCUAUACACAGAACUGGGUAGGCUACGACAGGUAGAGCUGAGUAAAAUACAGAGAAAUAACACACAGACCUGGGCACAGGUCAAACAAAAGAAAAAACAGUAAAGGAAGUAAAAUACAUCCAACUCACACCAAAGUGUUAGUUACAUAAAAAUACAAUUUAUUGAUUGUAUAGGAGGCUCUGAAGAACCAAUAAUCUCUAAAGCGAAAAAAAUAUAUAGUGCAAUACCAUAAGUACAAAGAAAUGGGAGGUGGAGGGGAUGGUUGGUAGAGAUCUAACUAGAAGGAAAAUCAGGCAUAUCUCACUUAUGUAGGGUGGAGGUUAAAAUAUAUGGUAUCUAUGCAGAGUGUGGGGACGCUGAAUGGCAGGGCUGCUUACUGUGCAACCUUGAGCCAGGAAGCCCCUCCAGUGGCCAUCUAAGGAGUGGCCACUUGGAGGUGUCCCUAGGGACAUUCUCUGAAAAAGGCAGUGUUUACAUGAAAAUGCAUGAAGGGAGCUAUUAUACUCAUCAGAACAACUACAUUAAACUGUAGUUGUUCUGGUGACUAUAGUGUUCCUUUAACAAACUUGCCAAUUUGAUUGAACGGAGGAAUAAGGUUAUAUGGGUCAGCAGUCAGGUUUCUUCCUGGAAAAUAAGGAAGGGAGAGCAUGACUGAUGCCCAGGGUUGGGGGGUUGUCCCCAGGUAGAUACAUGGUUGCGAAUGGGGAGCAGGAGAUAAAAAGGGGGAAGGGAGGAAGGGCCUUACCAGUCAGCGCAGACAAGUUGAGGGAUCCUGACUUUCCCGCCCUCUCUCCCAGUAGUAGGUUUGGUUGUGUUCUGUUUCUGGUGUCUUUGUGUUCUUGUUUUGUCACAGCUUGUGGUUCUUCCUAGACAGCACAGAUACAAGGGAUGAAAACGCCAAGGCGGUUUGGGGAGUCGCAGCCUGCCGGGAGCUGAUGGCGGGAGGCAGGCUGCUCUGGACUCUUGGAGAACAGUGUAGAGCUGUCUGUUGGAGAACACCCCAACAGCUGACAGAGGAAUUUGCUGGGAUGAUGUUUAUGGUUAAAUAAAG
rnacentral:lncRNA from 1 species